rnacentral:rRNA from 1 species
UACGGAGGGGGCUAGCGUUGUUCGGAAUUACUGGGCGUAAAGCGCACGUAGGCGGCUUUGCAAGUCAGAGGUGAAAGCCCGGGGCUCAACCCCGGAAUUGCCUUUGAGACUGCAUCGCUAGAAUUGUGGAGAGGAAAGUGGAAUUCCUGGUGUAGCGGUGAAAUGCGUAGAUAUCAGGAGGAACACCGGUGGUGUAAACGGCUUUCUGGACCAUAACUGACGCUGAGGCACGAAAGCGUGGGUAGCAAACAGG